CUUGCUCCUUUGACGUUAGCGGCGGACGGGUGAGUAACACGUGGAUAACCUACCUAUAAGACUGGGAUAACUUCGGGAAACCGGAGCUAAUACCGGAUAAGAUUUUGAACCGCAUGGUUCAAUAGUGAAAGACGGCCUUGCUGUCACUUAUAGAUGGAUCCGCGCCGUAUUAGCUAGUUGGUAAGGUAACGGCUUACCAAGGCAACGAUACGUAGCCGACCUGAGAGGGUGAUCGGCCACACUGGAACUGAGACACGGUCCAGACUCCUACGGGAGGCAGCAGUAGGGAAUCUUCCGCAAUGGGCGAAAGCCUGACGGAGCAACGCCGCGUGAGUGAUGAAGGUCUUCGGAUCGUAAAACUCUGUUAUCAGGGAAGAACAAACGUGUAAGUAACUGUGCACGUCUUGACGGUACCUGAUCAGAAAGCCACGGCUAACUACGUGCCAGCAGCCGCGGUAAUACGUAGGUGGCAAGCGUUAUCCGGAAUUAUUGGGCGUAAAGCGCGCGUAGGCGGUUUUUUAAGUCUGAUGUGAAAGCCCACGGCUCAACCGUGGAGGGUCAUUGGAAACUGGAAAACUUGAGUGCAGAAGAGGAAAGUGGAAUUCCAUGUGUAGCGGUGAAAUGCGCAGAGAUAUGGAGGAACACCAGUGGCGAAGGCGACUUUCUGGUCUGUAACUGACGCUGAUGUGCGAAAGCGUGGGGAUCAAACAGGAUUAGAUACCCUGGUAGUCCACGCCGUAAACGAUGAGUGCUAAGUGUUAGGGGGUUUCCGCCCCUUAGUGCUGCAGCUAACGCAUUAAGCACUCCGCCUGGGGAGUACGACCGC
rnacentral:rRNA from 1 species